GACGAACGCUGGCGGCGUGCCUAAUACAUGCAAGUCGAACGAGAGCAACCGGUGCUUGCACUGGUCAAUCUAGUGGCGAACGGGUGAGUAACACGUGGGUAACCUGCCCAUCAGAGGGGGGUAACAUCCGGAAACGGAUGCUAAAACCGCAUAGGUCUUCGAACCGCAUGGUUUGAAGAGGAAAAGAGGCGCAAGCUUCUGCUGAUGGAUGGACCCGCGAUGCAUUAGCUAGUUGGUGAGGUAACGGCUCACCAAGGCCGUGAUGCAUAGCCGACCUGAGAGGGUGAUCGGCCACAUUGGGACUGAGACACGGCCCAAACUCCUACGGGAGGCAGCAGUAGGGAAUCUUCCGCAAUGGACGCAAGUCUGACGGAGCAACGCCGCGUGAGUGAAGAAGGUUUUCGGAUCGUAAAACUCUGUUGUUAGAGAAGAACAAGUGCUAGAGUAACUGUUAGCGCCUUGACGGUAUCUAACCAGAAAGCCACGGCUAACUACGUG
rnacentral:rRNA from 1 species